rnacentral:tRNA from 1 species
GGGAGCGUCCCAUAGCGGCUAUUGGGAUCGCCUGCAGAGCGAUUUUUCCGUGGGUUCGAGUCCCACCGCUCCCU